rnacentral:rRNA from 2 species
UGGAACUCCAUGUGUAGCGGUGGAAUGCGUAGAUAUAUGGAAGAACACCAGUGGCGAAGGCGGCUACCUGGUCUGCAACUGACGCUGAGACUCGAAAGCAUGGGUAGCGAACAGGAUUAGAUACCCUGGUAGUCCAUGCCGUAAACGAUGAGUGCUAGGUGUUGGAGGGUUUCCGCCCUUCAGUGCCGGAGCUAACGCAUUAAGCACUCCGCCUGGGGAGUACGACCGCAAGGUUGAAACUCAAAGGAAUUGACGGGGGCCCGCACAAGCGGUGGAGCAUGUGGUUUAAUUCGAAGCUACGCGAAGAACCUUACCAGGUCUUGACAUCUUGCGCCAACCCUAGAGAUAGGGCGUUUCCUUCGGGAACGCAAUGACAGGUGGUGCAUGGUCGUCGUCAGCUCGUGUCGUGAGAUGUUGGGUUAAGUCCCGCAACGAGCGCAACCCUUGUUACUAGUUGCCAGCAUUAAGUUGGGCACUCUAGUGAGACUGCCGGUGACAAACCGGAGGAAGGUGGGGACGACGUCAGAUCAUCAUGCCCCUUAUGACCUGGGCUACACACGUGCUACAAUGGACGGUACAACGAGUCGCGAACUCGCGAGGGCAAGCAAAUCUCUUAAAACCGUUCUCAGUUCGGACUGCAGGCUGCAACUCGCCUGCACGAAGUCGGAAUCGCUAGUAAUCGCGGAU